UGUGCUAAUCCUCUUGGAAUGCAGCAAUUAUCACCUACGUAUAGGUGUUAAGUGCUGAAUUUCAAAGGGAUUAUCACU
rfam:Pygoscelis adeliae contig61724, whole genome shotgun sequence.